GGCCUCGUGGCCCAAUGGCAAGGCGUCUGACUACGAGUGAGACUCAAAAUGGGCGCUCAAAGUGAUCAGGAGAUUCUGGGUUCGACCCCCAGCGAGGUCA